UAGUACUUUACCUUCACUGCAAGCAAUGCAUUAUAUAUUCCAUCCCAUCCCACUUUAUGCCCUGACAAAACAUUCCACCAGUUUAAAAUUACAGUGGUUAUAGACACACUGAAUUGAUUUCACAAUACAGUGUGGGCCAUGAUUUACAGUUUGGAAAUUACUGAUUGGAAGGUAUCAGAUAAUGCUUCCAUAGAAUAUAACUUUAAACUGUAAACUUGGACUGAAAAAAUAAGUGGAAGGUAGCUAACAAAAAGUAGGGCAUGGGAGGCAGUGUACAAUUGUGUUCUGAUUUCAGAGAAAUCAGAGGGUGUAGAAGCCCAUGCAGAAUUGGAAAGGUGUUUGGUGAGUUCAGGAAAUUUGAGAGACGGAAUAGUGAAGCUGGAAUAUAUUGGCAGAGUGGGAGGGUGAUAUGAGUGAAUCUGUAUUUGGAGGAUUUGGUGAUGGAUUGGUUUUGGAGAGGCAGUGAGGGAGAAUGAUGGGUGAAAGACAAUAGUGGUAGUAAUUACAUUUUAGAAUAGUUACAAUGUCAGACACUUUGCUAAGCAAUUUAUAUGUUAUAUUUGGCUUUCUAAAAUUUUUCUGAAUGUAAAAAACAUUCUAUUUUAUGUUAUCCUAUAUGCACAUGUUUUUAUGAAACAGCACCUCUCAGAUUGCUGGGUUAAUAAUGAGGUAAAGGCUAGUGCUAUAAACUAAAAGAAUAAUGGAGAAGUCUGGUUUUUUGGAGGAGAAAUAUUGGAUGAUAAUGAGUUUGAUUUUGAGUUUGAUCAUGAACUUUAGAUGUUUCUUUCUAUGUGGAUCUGAGGUCAGAAGAAUUAUUUGGACUACAGAUAAAACAUUUGGGAGUAAUUAACACAUAUGUAAAAAUUAAAGCCUAUAGACUGACUGAGAGUAUCUGGUAAGAGAAGAUAGAGUGAAAAGAAAAUGAAAUUUAGUUUGGAGCCUUGUGCAAAUCAAAUAUUAGUAACCAAAGUGAGGAGGAAGAACUGAGAAAGGAGGCUGAAAAGAGUAGCCUAAGACAGAGGAGAAAAUCAGGAGAGAAUGUGGUCUUAUGGUCACAGGAUUGAAGUGUUUUGUUUGCUUAUAAAGUGAUGAGUAUAUAAGAAUGGGUAAUAAACCAUAUCAAAAACCUCUGUGAAGUCAAGUAAGGUAGUAAUAAUAAAAGUUCCUUCUGGACUGAGAUAACAUGAAUGUUGGUGGUGACCUUACAAAAGUUGAUCUCUAUAGUGGAAUGUGUAAGGGUUAUAAUCAUGUGACUUAAAUUGUAUUUGAUCUAUGACUAGGUGAAAUUCACCAUCUAACAUGGUUUUAAGAUAAUGUUCCCAUUUUGGGGUAGUUAAAAGCCUAGCCUAAAAUUACAGCUUGGCCCUCUAAGUCUGAGGUUGGAAGUUUGUCAACUGUGAAGGCUACUUUUCCAUUGCAUUAGGAUAUGCAAAAGAGAAGAACUGUAACACAGUGAAGAAGACAGUAAAGUAAGGAGGGCCUUCUAACAGCACAAGGAACGUUUUGUGGUGGUUGGAGAAUGAGGAGGAGUUGGAGGCAUGGAGAGUGGAAGGAUGAAGAGAGAAGAGGCUGUCAUUGUACAAGAUGUACAUAUACUGGGCCUCCCUCUCCUUUCCAUGCUCAUCAAGUUGUAGUGUUUUCCUUGGAUGGUUAUGUAGGGUUUUCCUACAGGGAACAAAAUAGGUGAUACUUUUCUUAGUUGCCUUAGACCUGGUCUCUGAAGUUGCAGAACACAGGGAAGCUGUUAAUCAGUUGUGUGAUGUGACAGAUUUUUAGGUUAAAGCAGAUACAAGAGAGAAAGAAAAGUACUGAAGACUAUUUUUUAAAAUCUUUAUUUAUUUUUGAGAGAGAGGGGAACGGAGAGAGAGGAGACACAGAAUCUGAAGCAGAUUCCAGGCUCUGAGCUCUUAGUGCAGAGCCCAAAACGGAGUUUGAACUCAUGAACCACGAAUUCGUGACCUGAGCCCAAGUCGGAUGCUUAAUUGACUGAGCCGCCCAGGUGCCCUGAAGACGAUUAAAAAUAGAAAACUCCUUAAAGAGGAUCACCUAUGAAGAGAAGGAGAAGCUAGGUUUGAAAUCAAGGAAGUAUUCCUUUUCUUAAGGAAUGGAGAUACCUGUUGGUUUGCAACCUCAGGAGUUCCCUGGAUGAAAUUCAAAUCUGGACAUUGUACACCUUAGGGCAAGAAGACCAAAGAAAGAGACAGGCCACUCCAGAUUGGUAGAUGGCAGUCUUAGUAAGCAAGGGAAUUUACAUACAAGGUUUGUCUUGAGUAACUACAAAAUAAGUAGAUCUCUACAUCUGCCCACCAAGGAUCCUAAAAGUUUAUGUAGAGGCCUUAAGGGGGUUCAAUCAUGUAUACGGUCCAGAUGGUCUCAGUAAUACAGUGUUCUCUUAAUGCUGCAUCCUUGAAAUGGCUCCUAGUGUGAGAACAGUGGGCAGAAUGUAGAAUGUACAUUCCAAGAUCAGGAGAGGAGGUAAUGAGCCUUGAAUUUCCUGGAUCCAGCUGGAGAGUCAACCAGCAGACACAUCCUCUGCAUAUCUCCUAUAAUAAUGAGAGAGAAAGUAGAUGUAUGAUAAUGAGAGAGAAAGUAGAAAGGAAGGGAGACAUUUUAGGUAGGCUUAUGGGUAUGGUAGUGCAAAGUUGAGUUGGUUAUCUUUGAAGGCUUCCACAUUCUCUUCCACAUAUAUAGAUAAACAGUGAGAUAAUCUCGGGAGAAAAAGAAAUGGCAAGGAGGCGAAACAGUCAACAAGAGAAAACUAGCAGUAUUUCUAAGCAGGACUGAUGUCCUAAUUUAGUUUUUAAUGGUUUUAAUCUCCUUGUAUGUGUGAAUUUUCCUCUUAGCCCCAUAGCUUGCACAGGGGAGAUAGAUGGUUGGCUGGAUGCAUCCUGGAUUAGGAUGUUGUGAGAGAUAUAACUAAAGGACAACAGGAAAAUUGCAUUCAAUGUAUUAGCAAAAGAAUGACUAACCUAAUGGACCACGAACACUAAUUCAUAGAUUGGAAUUACAUACGAUGACUUAAAGUGCAAAAGUGUAUCUGAAUUUUUUUAGUUCUGAACUCAUUUGAGGUGGACCUCCCAUUUCCGCUGAGGGUAGAAGCACAACUUUGACAAAGAUAACCGAAUCUUGUAUUUUAACAUAGUCUCUAGGAGCAAAUAUUCCAUUAGUUCAAAGCUCAAAAUUCUUUUUAUGAAUGUUUCUCAUCAUCUAAAGGUGUCUUGUCUUCAUUUCUUUUUUCUCUGAUGGCCUGUUGAUAAAGAAGUCCAACACCAGUUGGUUGGGGGAAAAGGGCAGUUAAGUGUACUUUUUGUCCCUUAUUCUUCUCAUUUUCUCUUUUUCCUUGGCCACUUCUCUAGCCAGAAAUGCUUACCUCAGUGUCUUGUCUGAAUAGGAACUACUGCCACAUGACAUCAUUUUCUUUAUGCAGGAACAAUAUUGUGAAAAGGGGAGCUGCUAUAAUAGAAAUAAAUAGAGGGGUGGAUGGAUUAAUGGUCCCAAUGUGGUAGGAAAACCAAUGGAGCAGAAAUGGCUCAGGAAACAAGAUGGAAGGGUAGGAAGAUGUACUUAGGGAAGGUAUGUCUGAAUUUAGUAUUCCAAAGCUGGGGAAGUUUUGUAGGUGGCAAUGUCCAGAGUAUGCCUAAGGAGAUGUUAGAUGAGAUAAACUGGUGAUCUUGGAGGCCACAAGGUAGUAAUGAAAGACUGGUGUGUAGUUUGGGUCAUCAACAUUGAUUUGGAAUCAUCUAAGACAAGCGUGGGAGUUGGAAUGGAGAUAGAGACCAUGAUCCAGAAUCUUCACUUAAUGAGGCAAGUAUUCCAGAUGGCUGUGGUAAAUCGAUUUUAAAUAUCAUUUUUAGUAGAGACUCUGAUCACCCUAGAAUAAAAUUGAAGGGAGAAAAUAUAGUAUAGAUGCUUUUUAUAAGUUGCAUGCAAAGAGGAAUUUAUAACUAGAGAGUGAUCAAAAAGAACAAUGUUAGAACUUUCAUGCCAAAACUUGCUAUAGAAGGUAUAAUUUCUGAUGUAUUCUGGAAGUUUUAUCUUUGUCCCCCAAAUGUCACUGUGGCAUGCGGUAAAUAUUUUCUUCCAAAUAGAUAACAGGUAGGAAUAGUAUACUUGAGUAGUUGGAUGAAAGGUACCAAAAUGCCCUUCCCUCCUCUGUCCCUUUGCCUCUAAUCUGGUAGUCAGCAGAUUUGGACUCACUACUGUUACUGCCAAUAGCCAUGUCUGCUGGCAUUUACAUAACAGAAUAGGGAAGUGAGUUAUGAAAGCAGCCACUGUCAUUUUCUUGUAUUUUCAUCACAAGGACAUAUUGAAAUACAUCCUUGGACAAAAGGACCCGGCUGAAAGUGGUUUCCAGAUAUCUCACCCUGCUGAUUUCGAUGUGAAAUGCAGGAAAACAGUGGUUGUUGGGAGGUGACUGAAGAGAGAAAAGUAAAUAAUUUCUGGUUUGGCCAGAUCUCUGAGGAGAGAUUCUACCUAUUCCCUGUAUACAGUGAACUGAGGAAGACUACUGACAUACGACUUACAAAGGAGAUAGCUUGAAACUGGUAUUGGAAACUUCGUCCCUCACCCAUCAAAAGAAAUAAAGCACCUUUCCCCCAGAAAAGUAGAAGUAAAUCGCUGCAGUCCGUUUUCAAUUUCCUGGAGGAUUUAGAAAUACUUGACACCAGAUACUUAAAUCUCAAAAUACUGCACAUCAAGCUCAGCACUGCCUGUAGGAAGGAGGCUCUGAGGCAGCUGUCUAAAGCUUCAGUUACACAAAGUCAAAGGCAGUGGCAAAACAGGUGCUCCUACUCCUGACAGAUUAUCUGAACGUCAGUAGUCAUCGACAUCUACGUCACCACCCCUACAUCAUUCCCCUCACUUCAUCUGAUCACACAGACAUUUUAUCGUGUCACAUCAUCACAAGAAGGGAAAACUAACAUUCGAAAACAAACCUGACAACAUGCCAAAAGUGAAGCAGAAGAAGCACACCUGCUUGCUCACCUGAGGCGGGGCAGACCUCCAUAGGUUACUGGACAAGCCCAAGAGCCCCGGAUGCAGCUGUACCGCCCUCAGGCGGCGGCGACUGGACCUCGCCUGGCGGCCGGCGCGGCGCUCCCUACGAAAGCGCCUGCGCAAAGCCAAGAAGUGGCGGCAGCUGAGGGGCAAGCGCCCCGUGGUGAGGAGGCAGCUGAGGGACGUGUUCCCCCUGCUUAGUUUGGUGGACAACCUGGUGGGCGUCUGUAAGGGACCUUCAGCAUUAUGGGAAUCAUGUCUGAGAUUAUCGGCCACAACCAGGGUGAGUUCUCCAUCAACCCUGGAAGCAAGACGCAUCCGUGCACCCACUCCCGCUUCAUCCUCCUCAAGUAGCAUGAAAGGUACAGACUUUUUUUUUUUAAUGUUUUUUACAAAUAUUUUGUUUAAUGAAGCUGAUACCGUGUCACAUCCCACGCCAAAAAGUGAAAGCAAAAUAUAAAAAGUGCAGUGCUCUGUUGUAUACACUUCUGCGUGAAUAACUUUAUUAACUGCUAGUGACACUUAGGACGUUUUUGGGAUCUUAUGGGAUUUUUUUAAAAUCUUAAAAUGCUUUCUCUUCAGUGAAGCCGCCUUUGGAUUUAGUCGUUACUGUCAGUGUGUGUGUUAUCUCGACUCCAAGUUGAUAUUCCGCCUCUUCUUUUGGUCCAGACCCUCAGAUUUUUUAAAUUUGAGAAUUAGACAGCUCAAGGAUUUUCUCUGUCACAUGUUACUAGUGUAUUUUGGGGAGAAACUUAAUUGUAUAAAAUUGAUAUCUAUUAGGAGGAAAAUGAAAAUUAAGGCAACGAUGAGAGGCUGCGUUUCCAAAGAGUAGGCAAACCAAUUGAGUUGGGCCUCAACAUCCUGCAGGUUGUUUUCUCUUUUACCUCCUAUGAACUAGGGGAUGUUUGCUUAUUCUCGGUAGGAGAGGAGACAAAAUUGGUAUAGAGAAGCUCCUACAAGGCAAAGAAGUCAGCAUUGCUUUAAAUGAUUUUUCAGAUCUGAAGAGACAAAAAAUAGAGUUUGGUUCUGCCACAUCACCUGGAUUUGAAGA